rnacentral:tRNA from 1 species
UGCCACCUUAGCUCAGUUGGUAGAGCAAAGGACUGAAAAUCCUUGUGUCUAGGGUUCAAUUCCCUGAGGUGGCAG